rnacentral:misc_RNA from 1 species
GAUGAAGAACGCAGCGAAAUGCGAUAAGUAAUGUGAAUUGCAGAAUUCAGUGAAUCAUCGAAUCUUUGAACGCACAUUGCGCCCAUUAGUAUUCUAGUGGGCAUGCCUGUUCGAGCGUCAUUUCAACCCUUAAGCCUAGCUUAGUAUUGGGAAUCGACUUUACUGUCGUUCCUCAAAUUCAACGGCGGAUUUAUAGCAAUCUCUGAACGUAGUAAUUUUUUUCCUCGUUUUUAAAAUACUAUAAACCUCAGCCGCUAAACCCCCAAUUUUUCUAUGGUUGACCUCGGAUCAGGUAGGAAUACCCGCUGAACUUAAGCAUAUCAAUAAGCGGAGGA